AUAUGCUUGUUCCAAAGCUUAAGCCAUGCAUGUGUCCGAACGAUGGUAGCUUUUGAUCUCUAGAAUCUGCGAACGGCUCCGUAUACCUGUUAUCACCCACCUCCGCUGAGCCCAAGCGGAUAACCACGGUAAUUCUGUGGCUAAUACGUGCAACCACUGGUCCCGCUCGAUCCGCUGCUUUAGAGGCGGGCGGGGCCGGCCACCCGGGCGACCACCAACGGCCCUCCCACUGGGGGGGGCUAAGCGUGAUGGCUCGGGUGGGAUCCUGACCGGGAUCGUAAACCUUACCGGCCCAGGAGAUAGGCAUCAGACCUAUCAACUUGAAGAUACGGGCCGGCCAGGCCUUGGUGAUAACGGGUACAGAGGAUCAGGGUUCGAUCCUGGAGAGGUAGCCUGAGAGAUCGCUACCACUUCUAAGGAAGGCAGCAGGCGCGCAACGUUCCCAAUGGGGGCCCCCCUGAGGACGUGACGGGGCAUAGCAAUACGCCGCCCACAAGGGCGGGGUAAUUGAAAUGGGGGCAUUUUAAAUCCCUCACCGAGUAGCA
rnacentral:rRNA from 1 species